UACGAAGGGGACUAGCGUUGUUCGGAAUCACUGGGCGUAAAGCGCACGUAGGCGGAUUUGUAAGUCAGGGGUGAAAUCCCGGGGCUCAACCUCGGAACUGCCUUUGAUACUGCGAAUCUUGAGUCCGAUAGAGGUGGGUGGAAUUCCUAGUGUAGAGGUGAAAUUCGUAGAUAUUCGGAAGAACACCAGUGGCGAAGGCGGCGAUCUGGGAAGAUACUGACGCUGAGGUGCGAAAGCGUGGGGAGCAAACAGG
rnacentral:rRNA from 1 species